rnacentral:sRNA from 1 species
CAGUAGCAGCAGCAGCAGUGGUGGCGGUGGUGGUAGUCAGCGCCAGUCUGAGACGUUUUAGUGGUUACCUGCCCCUGAAGAUACUACCUUUUGUUUAUUGUUUUUUAUUAUUAUUAUUACUAUUAUUAUAAAUCAUUACUUUAGAGUGUCUUCGUGUGAUAAACAACAUCCUUAUUUAUACCUAUAUAUAUGUUGAACAAAAAAUAUCAUAUACAUAUUGAUAUAUGUAAGAAAGAAAUGAAUUGAAAGGUUAGUUCAAAACUAUGUUACAAAAUACAAACUUGAUUUCAAGAUAUUUUUAAAAGACAUAAUGCGGUUACUUUUUUGUGGUUGACAUUGAUUUAAAUUGAUACAAUAAAAAGUACAAUGUUUAAUUUUAAAUAUAA